AAGUCGGGAGGGCAUUAAAACGAAAUUUGAACCAUUGCCUCUGUUUGCUAGUACUGUGAAAGGACGUCGUUACCGAAGAGCUCUUGAUGCUAAAACAAAGUCUGGAGCUGAUUUUUUGUCGUUAAUGAAGAGGUCAAGAUGCUAAAACAAACUCUGGAGCUGCUUUUUUGUCGAACACGAGUGAGACUGGACGCUAAACAACAACUGCGGCGCAAAGGUUUACUUCUUCAGCUGCUGCAGCGUGGACAGAAACACCAGCUGUCACCUUACAAACCAAACAGCUGUCACCACGACAUCAUCCACAAUUGCUGAGACGUCGUCUACGAACAGAGACAUUGUCGAGGAUGAGGGAGACAUUGUUCACGAUUAGAGAGAUGACCGUGAUCACAGAGUCUUUGUACAAUGAAGAAAUUAUUUGAGACUGGGACAGAGGCCUCCAGGAGGAGGAAGAGAAGACCACAUCACCUGAAGAGGACAAUAAAUUCUUUAAUAGUCUUAAAUAAGCUUAUCUUCAAGUGGUCAAACAUCUGACAUUAUCUUUGGUUUGGUUUGUUAAAUGUCGUCUAAAACAGAAUCAAUAAAGUUUUGUGACCUUCGUGUCAAA